rnacentral:rRNA from 1 species
UUAUGGAGAGUUUGAUCCUGGCUCAGGAUGAACGCUGGCGGCGUGCCUAAUACAUGCAAGUCGAGCGAACAGACGAGGAGCUUGCUCCUCUGACGUUAGCGGCGGACGGGUGAGUAACACGUGGGUAACCUACCUAUAAGACUGGGAUAACUCCGGGAAACCGGGGCUAAUACCGGAUAACACAUGAAACCGCAUGGUUUCAUGAUGAAAGACGGUUUUGCUGUCACUUAUAGAUGGACCCGCGGCGUAUUAGCUAGUUGGUAAGGUAACGGCUUACCAAGGCAACGAUACGUAGCCGACCUGAGAGGGUGAUCGGCCACACUGGAACUGAGACACGGUCCAGACUCCUACGGGAGGCAGCAGUAGGGAAUCUUCCGCAAUGGGCGAAAGCCUGACGGAGCAACGCCGCGUGAGUGAUGAAGGUCUUCGGAUCGUAAAACUCUGUUAUUAGGGAAGAACAAGGAUGUAAGUAACUGUGCAUCCCUUGACGGUACCUAAUCAGAAAGCCACGGCUAACUACGUGCCAGCAGCCGCGGUAAUACGUAGGUGGCAAGCGUUAUCCGGAAUUAUUGGGCGUAAAGCGCGCGUAGGCGGUUUUUUAAGUCUGAUGUGAAAGCCCACGGCUCAACCGUGGAGGGUCAUUGGAAACUGGAAAACUUGAGUGCAGAAGAGGAAAGUGGAAUUCCAUGUGUAGCGGUGAAAUGCGCAGAGA